rnacentral:lncRNA from 1 species
AGAAAAGCUGGAAUGCCGUUAAAACAACACCCUGUCAUCUUUCAAUCAGUCCUUAGCUGAAGUUAAAAUCCCACUCAUUCUGCAUGAUCCAGCCUCUGUAGCAUAGAGUGAGUAGCCCCUUAACAAGAACCAAAAUGGAGGGUACGGAUGAGGCUCAGAUCGUCACCACCUGGAGAAUAGAGACAGUGACUGAGUCACCAGGAAAUCUGUCCCCUGCUCAUCCCAGAAUCCCCGAGCUUUGACUUUUUAAGAGAACAUGUGACAGAUAAUGCCAUCUGAGAAGGAUUGCCUCCUUUACUGUAUGUUUUCCACUGAGAUGAAGAUUUUGGUCAUUUCCUCAUUCAUGUUCCUGCUUUUCAAAACCCAAGCAAGAAAGGAAACUUCUACAGUGACUUUCUCAUUAUGAAAUCUUAGCAUUCACUAGUCGGCCAUAAUGGAAAACCAGCCAAAUGGACACAUAUACACUGGUCUGUACCCGCAGAGAAAGAAAUGCAAAUCUCUGUGAUCAGAAAACUAUCCUAUCUUGUACAUUGUUAAAAGUCUGCCUCCAAAAAGUUUACUUCUGGAAUACUGUAAUUGAAUAGAAUCAGGGAUCCUACCUGUGUCCUUCAACUUUCACAUCUUGUCUACUCAAGUAAGGGUUGAAUUUGCAUGACUAUAUCUAAGGUUCGAGGGCUUACCUGUUGGCAGUAGACCCAGUAGUCUAUGAAUGGAAAUGGGCAAACCUGUGACCUCCCAAAACUUUAAUAUGAAAGUUUUGUUUGUGUAUACUCAUGGCAUUAUUCUUUUAAUAAAGAGAUAAUCUAUAUAGUUUUCUUUUUUAAAAG